AUCGCUUCUCGCCUUUUGGCUAAGAUCAAGUGUAGUAUCUGUUCUUAUCAGUUUAAUAUCUGAAUCGUCCUCUAUGCGAGGACAAUAUAUUAAAUGGAUUUUUGGAGCAGGGAGUUGGAAUAGGAGCUUGCUCCGUCCACUCCACGCAUCGCCUGGUAUUGCAGUACUUCCAGAGCGGUGCAUCCCCG
rnacentral:snRNA from 1 species